rnacentral:rRNA from 1 species
ACACAUGCAAGUCGAACGAAGCACUCUAUUUGAUUUCCUUCGGGAUUGAUUAUUUUGUGACUGAGUGGCGGAUGGGUGAGUAACGCGUGGGUAACCUGCCUCAUACAGGGGGAUAACAGUUGGAAACGACUGCUAAUACCGCAUAAGCGCACGGUACCGCAUGGUACCGUGUGAAAAACUCCGGUGGUAUGAGAUGGACCCGCGUCUGAUUAGCUAGUUGGUGGGGUAACAGCCUACCAAGGCGACGAUCAGUAGCCGACCUGAGAGGGUGACCGGCCACAUUGGGACUGAGACACGGCCCAAACUCCUACGGGAGGCAGCAGUGGGGAAUAUUGCACAAUGGGGGAAACCCUGAUGCAGCGACGCCGCGUGAGCGAAGAAGUAUUUCGGUAUGUAAAGCUCUAUCAGCAGGGAAGAAAAAAUGACGGUACCUGACUAAGAAGCACCGGCUAAAUACGUGCCAGCAGCCGCGGUAAUACGUAUGGUGCAAGCGUUAUCCGGAUUUACUGGGUGUAAAGGGAGCGCAGGCGGUGCGGCAAGUCUGAUGUGAAAGCCCGGGGCUCAACCCCGGUACUGCAUUGGAAACUGUCGUACUAGGGUGUCGGAGGGGUAAGUGGGAUUCCUAGUGUAGCGGUGAAAUGCGUAGAUAUUAGGAGGAACACCAGUGGCGAAGGCGGCUUACUGGACGAUAACUGACGCUGAGGCUCGAAAGCGUGGGGAGCAAACAGGAUUAGAUACCCUGGUAGUCC